UGAACGCUGGCGGCAGGCCUAACACAUGCAAGUCGAGCGGUAGCACAGAGAGCUUGCUCUCGGGUGACGAGCGGCGGACGGGUGAGUAAUGUCUGGGAAACUGCCUGAUGGAGGGGGAUAACUACUGGAAACGGUAGCUAAUACCGCAUAAUGUCGCAAGACCAAAGUGGGGGACCUUCGGGCCUCAUGCCAUCAGAUGUGCCCAGAUGGGAUUAGCUAGUAGGUGGGGUAACGGCUCACCUAGGCGACGAUCCCUAGCUGGUCUGAGAGGAUGACCAGCCACACUGGAACUGAGACACGGUCCAGACUCCUACGGGAGGCAGCAGUGGGGAAUAUUGCACAAUGGGCGCAAGCCUGAUGCAGCCAUGCCGCGUGUGUGAAGAAGGCCUUCGGGUUGUAAAGCACUUUCAGCGGGGAGGAAGGCGGUAAGGUUAAUAACCUCAUCGAUUGACGUUACCCGCAGAAGAAGCACCGGCUAACUCCGUGCCAGCAGCCGCGGUAAUACGGAGGGUGCAAGCGUUAAUCGGAAUUACUGGGCGUAAAGCGCACGCAGGCGGUCUGUCAAGUCGGAUGUGAAAUCCCCGGGCUCAACCUGGGAACUGCAUUCGAAACUGGCAGGCUAGAGUCUUGUAGAGGGGGGUAGAAUUCCAGGUGUAGCGGUGAAAUGCGUAGAGAUCUGGAGGAAUACCGGUGGCGAAGGCGGCCCCCUGGACAAAGACUGACGCUCAGGUGCGAAAGCGUGGGGAGCAAACAGGAUUAGAUACCCUGGUAGUCCACGCCGUAAACGAUGUCGAUUUGGAGGUUGUGCCCUUGAGGCGUGGCUUCCGGAGCUAACGCGUUAAAUCGACCGCCUGGGGAGUACGGCCGCAAGGUUAAAACUCAAAUGAAUUGACGGGGGCCCGCACAAGCGGUGGAGCAUGUGGUUUAAUUCGAUGCAACGCGAAGAACCUUACCUGGUCUUGACAUCCACAGAACUUUCCAGAGAUGGAUUGGUGCCUUCGGGAACUGUGAGACAGGUGCUGCAUGGCUGUCGUCAGCUCGUGUUGUGAAAUGUUGGGUUAAGUCCCGCAACGAGCGCAACCCUUAUCCUUUGUUGCCAGCGGUCCGGCCGGGAACUCAAAGGAGACUGCCAGUGAUAAACUGGAGGAAGGUGGGGAUGACGUCAAGUCAUCAUGGCCCUUACGACCAGGGCUACACACGUGCUACAAUGGCAUAUACAAAGAGAAGCGACCUCGCGAGAGCAAGCGGACCUCAUAAAGUAUGUCGUAGUCCGGAUUGGAGUCUGCAACUCGACUCCAUGAAGUCGGAAUCGCUAGUAAUCGUAGAUCAGAAUGCUACGGUGAAUACGUUCCCGGGCCUUGUACACACCGCCCGUCACACCAUGGGAGUGGGUUGCAAAAGAAGUAGGUAGCUUAACCUUCGGGAGGGCGCUUACCACUUUGUGAUUCAUGACUGGGGUGAAGUCGUAACAAGGUAACCGUAGGG
rnacentral:rRNA from 1 species